CCUACAUGAAGCUGGAGUUACUAGUAAUCGCAGAUCAGAAUGCUGCGGUGAAUGCGUUCCCGGGUCUUGUACACACCGCCCGUCACACCACGGGAGUUGGAGACGCCCGAAGCCGAUUAUCUAACCUGUUGGAAGAAGUCGUCGAAGGUGGAAUCAAUAACUGGGGUGAAGUCGUAACAAGGUAGCCGUAUCGGAAGGUGCGGCUGGAUCACCUCCUCGCUACGGA
rnacentral:rRNA from 1 species